rnacentral:rRNA from 1 species
AUUGAACGCUGGCGGCAGGCCUAACACAUGCAAGUAGAACGAGUGGCGGCCGGGUGAGUAAUGUCUGGGAAACUGCCUGAUGGAGGGGGAUAACUACUGGACACGGUAGCUAAUACCGCAUACCAUCGGAUGUGCCCAGAUGGGAUUAGCUAGUCGGUGGGGUAACGGCUCACCUAGGCGACGAUCCCUAGCUGGUCUGAGAGGAUGACCAGACACACUGGAACUGAGACACGGUCCAGACGCCUACGGGAGGCAGCAGUGGGGAAUAUUGCACAAUGGGCGCAAGCCUGAUGCAGCCAUGCCGCGUGUAGGAAGAAGGCCUUCGGGUUGUAAAGUACUUUCAGCAGGGAGGCGUUACCCGCAGAAGAAGCACAGGCUAACUCCGUGCCAGCAGCCGCGGUAAUAC